GUUUUGCGUUUUAAGUGGUUUUAACUUAAUAGUAAGUCCAUAAAAUGGCAAGAUUAGCAAUUAUGUACCAUAUUAUACGUAAAUCACAUGUAAGUGAAUUAAAACAAAGGCGAAAUGACCGUCGAAUGAUGCGAUACACAGAUCGAGCAUUUUCUAUGUGUGAAAACGAAUUUAUAGCUAAUUAUAGAGUUAGCAAAGAUUUGUUUCAAGAAAUAUACCAAAAUCUAAAGGCUUUUAUGCCAACGCCUAAAAGAAAAAGUGAUAUAUCGCCUAAGUUUAAGGUAAGUAAAUACGUUGCGUUAAGUAAAUGGUAGCAGUUACGUCUCAACUCAACAUUUAUAUUAUUAUUUAACUUACAAAUUUUAGUGGCAUUAUCAUUUUAUGCAACAGGCAGUUACCAAAAAUUAGUUGGUGGCACAUAUGGGACACUAAUGUCGCAGCAAUCUGUAUCUCGCGCCAUACGAGAUGUAACAGCAGCCCUUAACCAUCAACUAGUACUAAAUAAAUGGAUAAAAUUUCCUCAAACUCGCCAAGAAAGAGAUGCAAUAAAAGGAGGUUUUAUGAAAAAUAUCAUAUUCUAUAAAAAUAUGAUGUAUUGAUGGCACACAUGUAGCUAUAAUAAGACCCAAAGAAAAUGAAGAGAGAUAUUUUAAUCGCAAACAUUUUCAUUCCAAAAAUGUUAUGAUUGUAUGUAUGUAUAUAAAAAUAAGAAUCUUUUUCUCUCACUUUCUAACAAAUAAACUUGUGUCUUUUAUUGUUUAUAUUUUUUUUUAGAUAAGUGAUGCAGAUUUAAAAAUGUUGUCUGUAGAUGUUUCCUAUGGAGGAGCUAUACAUGACAGCUUUAUUUGGAAUCAGCAUCCUGUAAAACAACAUUUAAUCAAUUUGAACAGUAAUGGAGAAAAUGUAUAUUUAUUAGGUGAGUAUUAUUUUGAAAUGUUCAUAGAUUUUAUUAUGAAUACAUUUUAAUUAGCACCCACUUUUAGGUGAUUCUGGAUAUGCACAGCGGGAAUAUAUGAUCACACCUAUAGUGGAUGCUCCUGUAGGGUCCCCGGAAGAGUAUUACACCAAGAUGCACUGCCAUGCUCGAAAUACAGUGGAGCGUACUAUUGGUGUACUUAAAAAUAGAUGGCGGUGCUUAUUACGGCAUAGGGUUCUACAUUAUCAUCCCGAUGUAGCAUCCAAAAUUAUCAAUGCUUGUUGUGUCUUGCAUAACAUAUGCAUUACCAAAUUAGAUAAUACAAUAAUAUAUCCUGAGGGGAAUUCCGAAGAUGAUGGACAUGACAACCUUAAUGUUAUAUCUCAACAUUCAACUGCUAGUACAGCAGCUGCUGACCUAAGGCGAGGCAUAGAAAAGAGAGCUGUUUUAGUUCAACAGUUGUGGGCACGUAGAAUCUAAGCAUGAAGUAUCAGUGAUGGUGGUAAAACUGCGAUUAGAUAUUUUUAAAUAUUUUUAGUUAUUAGGUACAGUUGAAAAUUUUAAUUAUUUUUUAUUACAUAGUAUUUUGAGAGCUAUUAAUGUAAUUAAUGAAUACUUAAAUCUCACACAUUUUUAUGCUAUAGGUAUAUUAUAGGUAGGGUGACAUGGGCAACAAUGAACCAGGAAAAGUUUGAACCUUCAAAAAUCCACCUUACACGACUGUAUUAAAAUACAGAUUUAAUUAGAUGAAAGAAAAUGUAUUUCAUAUUUGUUUUGAAUACAAAUUUCAACUCUAUGCCUCUUAGAAUAAGAGUUAUUAUCAUUUUUUUAAAAGUCGGCGAUUGGUCCACUGUGUACAACCAUAGGCACACAGUGAACCGGGCAGUGAGUCGACAGUGAACCACUGUGUUUACAAUGAACCACCAUAUCAAUUCCUUUUCUUAAUUGAUAGUAUAAGAGAAUUUUAAAAAGUAAUGGUGUGAUGGACAAUAACAUACUUAUAAUUGGUUUUAUAAAUUGUUUAUUUUUUGCAGUUAACAACAAUUAUAAUCAUAUAAACUCAGAACAAAAAAAACUUGUUAGAAACCUAAUUAGGAACUUUUCUUUUAAGUCUGUCUACCUUACAAUUAAUAAUCUUAUAACUAACCGGCCUUUUUACCAGUCUUAUUAUCACAUUUUUAGGAACUACUACUAACUGAAGCAGCAUACUGUGCACAGUGUUUCUUUAGUGCACAUUUCUUCUCUGCCCAGUACUAAAACAUACAUAAUAUAUUAUAAUUAAUUUGUUUCAUAAACAUAGCAGAUACAUAUUUAAGGCGAAUCCGUUCAUGGCUCCGCCGCAAUUUUUUCGCUAGAUGGCAUUGAAGUCACAAAAAGUCACAUUUUUUAUAAUUACGUCCAAAAUACUUUGUUUCUAGAAAAUUUUUUGCUGUAUGCUAGAGGUAUAUACUAUGCUACAAUUUAUCUAUAUAUUUAUUUUGCUUCAUCAUAACGAAUAUCUGAGAAUAGUACCGUUUAAGUUAGCUGAAGCAGAAAGAUCGGUAUUUCGUGUACGUAUACGCACGCACACAUAUCGAAAGUAAUUUUUAUAUAGGACCUCUAGAUGGUACUAAUGCAGAAAACAUAUUUCAAGGUCUCGAAAAAUUGAACGUAAUCUCUCGUAUCGCAUCUUUGUUGGUGCAUAUUUAUAAUGGAUGACGAAAAAUUGGGAAUAAAUAAAUUAAAAUACUGUAUUUUAUAGCUUGGCAAAAAGUGUAGAAAUGGAACUAAUCCUUUAUUUUACCUGGCAACAUUAUCACAUUUUUGACGUUUGUGAAGUUUUAUAAAUAGUGUCGGUGUUGUCUUUUUAUUAAAAUUUUGCAAUAAGAACAAGAAGAUACUAUUCGCGAUACAAAAUGAAUAAGCCGCGAAUAAUAAGGUUCGCGAGAGAAAUUAUAUAUAAAAUUUUUACCGACCAUGUCUAGCUGAACAAGAAGCAAAAACAAUUCUAUCGGAUCUGG